GAUGAAACGCUAGCGGCAGGCUUAACACAUAGGCAAGGUCGAGGGGGCAGCACGAGGUAGCAAUACUUUGGUGGCGACCGGCGCACGGGUGCGUAACGCGUAUGCAACCUACCUUUAACAGGGGCAUAACACUGAGAAAUUGGUACUAAUUCCCCAUAACAUUCGAGAAGGCAUCUUCUUGGGUUAAAAACUCCGGUGGUUAAAGAUGGGCAUGCGUUGUAUUAGCUAGUUGGU
rnacentral:rRNA from 1 species